rnacentral:rRNA from 1 species
GACGAACGCUGGCGGCGUGCUUAACACAUGCAAGUCGAACGGAAAGGCCCAGCUUGCUGGGUGCUCGAGUGGCGAACGGGUGAGUAACACGUGGGUGAUCUGCCCCUAACUUCGGGAUAAGCUUGGGAAACUGGGUCUAAUACCGGAUAGGACAAUCGUUUAGUGUCGGUUGUGGAAAGUUUUUUCGGUUAGGGAUGAGCCCGCGGCCUAUCAGCUUGUUGGUGGGGUAAUGGCCUACCAAGGCGUCGACGGGUAGCCGGCCUGAGAGGGUGGACGGCCACAUUGGGACUGAGAUACGGCCCAGACUCCUACGGGAGGCAGCAGUGGGGAAUAUUGCACAAUGGGCGCAAGCCUGAUGCAGCGACGCCGCGUGGGGGAUGACGGCCUUCGGGUUGUAAACCUCUUUCGACAGGGACGAAGCUUUGGUGACGGUACCUGUAUAAGAAGCACCGGCUAACUACGU